AUUGAACGCUGGCGGCAGGCUUAACACAUGCAAGUCGAGCGGUAGCACAGGGGUGCUUGCUCCCUGGGUGGCGAGCGGCGGGCGGAUGAGCAAUGUCUGGGAAACUGCCUGAUGGAGGGGGAUAACUACUGGGAACGGUAACUAAUACCGCAUAACGUGGGAAGACCGAAGAGGGUGGCCUUCCGGCCUAUCGCCAUAACAUAGGCCCAGAUCGGAUUAGCUAGUUGGUGGGGUAAAGGCACACCUAGGCGACGAUCCGUAGCUGGUCUGAGAGGAUGAUCAGCCACACUGGAACUGAGACACGGUCCAGACUCCUACGGGAGGCAGCAGUGGGGAAUAUUGCACAAUGGGCGAAAGCCUGAUGCAGCCAUGCCGCGUGUGUGAAGAAGGCCUUCGGAUUGUAAAGCACUUUAAGCGGGGAGGAAGGGGGUGAGCUUAAUACCUUCAUCAAUUGACGUUACUCGCAGAAGAAGCACCGGCUAACUCCGUG
rnacentral:rRNA from 1 species